rnacentral:piRNA from 1 species
UAGGAAUUUUCUGGGAAGGAGGAGCCCUC